AAUGAACGCUGGCGGCAGGCCUAACACAUGCAAGUCGAACGGACCCUUCGGGGUUAGUGGCGGACGGGUGAGUAACGCGUGGGAACGUGCCCUUUGGUUCGGAAUAGCCUCGGGAAACUGGGAGUAAUACCGGAUAAGCCCUUCGGGGGAAAGAUUUAUCGCCAAAGGAUCGGCCCGCGUUGGAUUAGGUAGUUGGUGGGGUAAUGGCCUACCAAGCCGACGAUCCAUAGCUGGUUUGAGAGGAUGAUCAGCCACACUGGGACUGAGACACGGCCCAGACUCCUACGGGAGGCAGCAGUGGGGAAUCUUAGACAAUGGAGGAAACCCUGAUCUAGCCAUGCCACGUGAUCGAUGAAGGCCUUAGGGUUGUAAAGAUCUUUCAGUUGGGAAGAUAAUGACGGUACCAACAGAAGAAGCCCCGGCUAACUCCGUGCCAGCAGCCGCCGUAA
rnacentral:rRNA from 1 species